rnacentral:rRNA from 2 species
GACGGAGGAGGCUAGCGUUGUUCGGAAUUACUGGGCGUAAAGCGUACGCAGGCGGUUGAUCAAGUCAGGUGUGAAAGCCCGGGGCUCAACCUCGGAAUUGCGCCUGAGACUGGUCGGCUAGAGUUCGGAAGAGGAGAGUGGAAUUCCCAGUGUAGAGGUGAAAUUCGUAGAUAUUGGGAAGAACACCAGUGGCGAAGGCGACUCUCUGGUCCGAUACUGACGCUCAAGUACGAAAGCGUGGGGAGCAAACAGG